rnacentral:rRNA from 1 species
CGGUACCUGACUAAGAAGCCCCGGCUAACUACGUGCCAGCAGCCGCGGUAAUACGUAGGGGGCAAGCGUUAUCCGGAAUUACUGGGUGUAAAGGGAGCGUAGGCGGCACGCCAAGCCAGAUGUGAAAGCCCGAGGCUUAACCUCGCGGAUUGCAUUUGGAACUGGCGAGCUAGAGUACAGGAGAGGAAAGCGGAAUUCCUAGUGUAGCGGUGAAAUGCGUAGAUAUUAGGAAGAACACCAGUGGCGAAGGCGGCUUUCUGGACUGAAACUGACGCUGAGGCUCGAAAGCGUGGGGAGCAAACAGGAUUAGAUACCCUGGUAGUCCACGCCGUAAACGAUGAGUGCUAGGUGUCGGGGAGGAAUCCUCGGUGCCGCAGCUAACGCAAUAAGCACUCCACCUGGGGAGUACGACCGCAAGGUUGAAACUCAAAGGAAUUGACGGGGGCCCGCACAAGCGGUGGAGCAUGUGGUUUAAUUCGAAGCAACGCGAAGAACCUUACCAAGUCUUGACAUCCCGAUGACAGAACAUGUAAUGUGUUUUCUCUUCGGAGCAUCGGUGACAGGUGGUGCAUGGUUGUCGUCAGCUCGUGUCGUGAGAUGUUGGGUUAAGUCCCGCAACGAGCGCAACCCUUAUCCUUAGUAGCCAUCAUUGAGUUGGGCACUCUAGGGAGACUGCCGUGGAUAACACGGAGGAAGGUGGGGAUGACGUCAAAUCAUCAUGCCCCUUAUGUCUUGGGCUACACACGUGCUACAAUGGCUGGUAACAGAGUGAAGCGAGACGGCGACGUUAAGCAAAUCACAAAAACCCAGUCCCAGUUCGGAUUGUAGUCUGCAACUCGACUACAUGAAGCUGGAAUCGCUAGUAAUCGCGAAUCAGAAUGUCGCGGUGAAUACGUUCCCGGGCCUUGUACACACCGCCCGUCACACCAUGGGAGUUGGAAGCACCCGAAGUCGGUGACCUAACCGUAAGGAAGGAGCCGCCGAAGGUGAAGCCAGUGACUGGGGUGAAGUCGUAACAAGGUAGCCGUAUCGGAAGGUGCGGCUG